UAUAUAAAUACUGUUCGGUUUCUCGCACAAACCGAUCGUUUCGUUUCUUAGGAUAUCAAUGUGUCGUCACGAGCGGCAGGGUUUAAUUUGGAUUUGUCUGUGCAUGUUUUUACUGUCUGAGAUUUUGUUACUAUUCACAUGCAUACAGACUGAAACGGUUGGAGUUUCUACAUUUGUGUUGUACUGAAGAAACAAAAUCACAUACAUCUUGGAUGGCCUCGGGACCCUUUUGCCAGUAUGAAGCCGAUUUCAACGGUAACUGCAGAAAGCGUCAGCACGCUCAGCUCAUCACUGGAGUAACGUCUGUACAACGGGUGAGAUAAAACUCAACGCCUGACUGAAUCAUCCAUUCCCUUUUCGAUCCUACGCCAUACGUUAAACUUGAGGUAAUCUUGCUUUUGCUGUUCUAAAAUAAACACUGCUCUUAGCACACCCCACCCUUACAUGGCACACAAGUAUAUGACACACAACACAGGUCUUCUCAGGAGGCUGUGCCUACAGCAAUAGGCUUUACGCCCAGCUGCACUACUUCCUGAACUUCAGCCAGCUCCUUGUUUCCUGUCUGCCAUUAUUGGACAAACUGAUUAAUCCAGGUGUGCCUGAGCUUAGUAGUCACAACAACAAUAAUCAGACACA